GCGGCUGUGUGCGAGAUGGUUUAGGCAACCUCCCUGUCACGGAGGAGUACGUGGGUUCAAGUCCCAUCGGUCGCG
rnacentral:tRNA from 2 species